GUCGGAAAGCGGCCUUCUGGGACUCCGCAAACUCCCGUUCUCCCUCCCCCCUCCCCCUUGCCAUUCCCUUUGCCUUCCGGGCGCCAAGUCUCUCUGGCCUCCAAGGUGAACCCAACUCCCCAGCGCGCCCCGGGUUCCCGGGUCGGGCCGGCUUCAGGCGGUGGGGAGCGGGAUCCCGGGCCCCGGGCGGGCGGGAGGGACGGGACGCGGUGCAGUGUUGUUUUUUCCCCCGCCAAUAUUGCACUCGUCCCGGCCUCCGGCCCCCCCGGCCCCCCGGCCUCCCCGCUACCCCUAGCGGGGCAGCCCCCGCCCUCCUGGCUCUCCAUCCCGGCGGAUCUUUGAUAGACUGGAGUGUCGCCGCUGCCACCACGGGAAAAUGGGUCAUGGAGGAGUGACUUCACCAACAUCACUCAUAGGUGCUUGUGUCCGUGGUGAGAAGGGUGAUGGAGAGAAGUGGCUGCAGUUCCCACCCAUGGAGAGGUCACUGGUGAAUCCCAGCUAAAGAGGAAGGACAGGCCCGGCCUGAGUCCCACAGGCUUACCAUCUGAGUCCUUCUGAUUGGGAUUGGGUACCAGGCGGCAGUUAUCGGGACCAGGAGGCACAUAAUCUGGGAUGCCAUCAUUGUCAUCAUCCCCAUCACACUCAUCUCCAAGUCCAUCGUUAUCAGAGUCCAGCUGGGAGCUAUUUGGCAGCUGUGGGCAGUUGUCCUUGGUGUCCUGAUGCCCAUCCCCAUCGCUAAUCAGAAGAACAGGUUGGUGAAAGUCCCGAACUUUGUCUCCCCACCCAGAGGACAACUGGCCAGGAAAUCUGCCUGUUUCUUGUCUCACCCUCUAGUCCACACUCUGCCUAACACUACGCCCUACCUCACAUUCCUAUUGACAUCUGCUGCAGAUCACACCCUUGUGAUGGACAAACUGCUCAGUACAGUCCCACCCACCCAGCCUCCUUGUCCUGGGCACGAGGUUUUUGCCUCCCUGAUUUGGAGUAUUUGGCCCUUACUAGAGAGCUGCCAGAUGAGACCUGAAGGGGCAGACUUUGGGUGGAACCAGACCUAUGGUGGGUCUCCUCAGAUACAGCAGAGGACACUGGGACAUUUCCUUCACCUGGAGAAGGAUGGGGAGGAGUCAGCACUUGACAUCUGCCACCCUACCCCAGAAUCAGUGCCACCCUUCGCCAGCCCACCCAAACCUGGUCUCGUAUAUCAUCCCGCAGCUCCACCAGGAUCUGGUUGAAGAGGAACUCAGAGGCUCCUCCCGGCUCACCUGCAUCCUCAAAUACGCCUUCUGUCCAGUCCUAAUCUCCAGCCCAUCGACCUCCGCUGGAGGAAUGGGGGCCAGUGCUGGAAGGCCUGCAUGUUGGUCACCCAGUUUGCAGUCCACGUAGAGAUGUAGGGCAGGGCUGGGUCUGGAGGGACCUCGGAGUCGCAGGAGAACUGUGUGUGUGCGCCCAUCAGCCAGGCCCGCUUGCUGUAGGUUCACGGCGUGGACUUUGCCAUCCUCCCGCUGGUAUCGCACCAGUACUGCCCAGGAGGGGAGAUCAGUAUGGGCGCUAUCCCCCACCCCCUGCCUCCCAGCUGAGCCUUGGAUCAACUCUGCUAGAUACCACAUCUCUAGGGCCCCUAUCCCUAAUUCUACUAUGUGGCUCUCAACACCUUGUAUUUAAUAGGUACACAAUAAAUGUUUUUGAAAUUG
ensembl:lncRNA THBS3-AS1 THBS3 antisense RNA 1